AUUGAACGCUGGCGGCAUGCUUUACACAUGCAAGUCGAACGGUAACAGGGAGCUUGCUCCGCUGACGAGCGGCGAACGGGUGAGUAAUGCGUCGGAACGUGCCGAGUAGUGGGGGAUAACGCAGCGAAAGGUGUGCUAAUACCGCAUACGUACUGAGGUAGAAAGUGGGGGACCUUCGGGCCUCACGCUAUUCGAGCGGCCGACGUCUGAUUAGCUAGUUGGUGAGAUAAAGGCUCACCAAGGCGACGAUCAGUAGCGGGUCUGAGAGGAUGAGCCGCCACACUGGGACUGAGACACGGCCCAGACUCCUACGGGAGGCAGCAGUGGGGAAUUUUGGACAAUGGGCGCAAGCCUGAUCCAGCCAUGCCGCGUGUCUGAAGAAGGCCUUCGGGUUGUAAAGGACUUUCGUCCGGGAGCAAAUGCCUGGUGUUAAUAGCACUGGGAGCUGAGAGUACCGGAAGAAUAAGCACCGGCUAACUACGUGCCAGCCGCCGCCGUAAAAC
rnacentral:rRNA from 1 species